CAAGAAUGUAAAUUACUGUAAAGCUGUUUAAGGUAAAAUGCUUUAUAUACAUUAUCAAUAGAGAAGAUAAGUGCAUACCACACGAGUACAUUCAUGUGAAUGAAAGUGGUUCAGGCUUUUCCUUCUGAAGUUUAUCAGGAUAUAGUGCUUGAUUUGUUAUUCACUUCAAAUUAUCUUUGCCUGUACCAAUUUCAUGGUGGUGGAAAGAAAACAAACAUUACAAAAAGGUGAGCAACUACGCCUGUGGAACUAACUGCAAGGAUAUGUGUUUAAUUGAAGAAUUUGCUUUACAAAUACUGGUUUCUGCAGGAAAGUUUAAAAUCACUUUCAGCACUUUCUAAAGACAAAUAGAAAUAUUUUUAAUAGAACCAAAAUGUACUUAACCUUCACAGGGUCCCUUGCCAGUUCUGGGAGAGAUUGGCAGAGACUGGGUGCCCCUGGGGUGGUUUUACAUGGUUAUGCUCUUUAGGCCGUUAGUCAUCAGGACACCUGUGCUGAUAGCAAUGAACUAUAUCUAAUAUCUGAUUUAAUCAGUGUGGGGAGAUCAUUUAGUUUUUCUACAGGACUGAGUCUCCUCUCCAACCUUCUCUGCUGCCUAAACACCUCCCAUUGCAAUUAUGUGAUCUUUGUGCUUCGGCCUUUGUACCCAGUCCUGGGAAUUCUGUCAUCUCCCCUCAUGACUGACAACAUCAGGCCCAUGGGGAUGUUGGAGAAGCCCAGCAAACUGGUGCAGCAAGGGAAAGGAGUGGGGUUAAAAGUCAUUCCACAGAGCUGAUGCCUGAAAAUAGUGAACAUGAUUAUCCAGAGAGUCAACUGAUGAGAGCUAAGGACAGAGUUUUGGGGACCUGUGUAGAGGUGCAGUGGGAGAAAAACAUCCAGAAAGCCUGGCUGCCAAACCUUGGGUUAGACUGGAAUUUUGGUAGCUGUGGGACUUCAGGCAGCUGUCUUAGUUUCUCUGAGCCUGAGUUUAUUGCAUGUAGAAUGGUGGCUAUUAAAGCACCUACUGAUUAUAUGAAAUAAAGCAUAGAGCCAGUUAGUUGCAUUCUACCUCCAAAAAAGUAAGAAAUAUUAAAAGGAGAGCCAAGGGGGUGCCUUGGAAAGAGAAAUUUCAAGUAGGAAAUGCUCAAGAGAAGGGUCACAGACAAUUAGGACCAGCUGGUGAGUUCUGGAGCAGGCCUACUCCCUGCUCAGUUCAUUAUGAGUUGUCUUGUGACAGGUGAAAUAUUCGCAUGGGGCUAACAUAGCUUCUUUUUUAAAAAAAAUUUUUUUAUUAGUUGCUCAAAACAUUAUAAUGAUCUUGACAUACAUUUGAUUCAAAUGGGGUACGUAAUCUUAUUUUUCCACGUGUACGGAUUGCAGGAUCACAUUGGUUUUACAGCCACAUUUAUACAUGGGGCCAUACUAGUGUCUAUUGUAUUGUGCUGCCCUUCCUAUCCCCCCCUCCCCUCCCCUCCCCUCCCAUGACCUCUUUCUACCCAAUCUACUGUGACACAUUUCUCUCUCUCUCUUUUUUCUUCCCUAACAUAGCUUCUUUACGAAUGAUUUUUGAUUGACAAUAACAUUUUAUUCCAUGAGUGAGAAAAGAGUGGAACUUUCAGAGCCAGAAAUUGUUCAUGCCCCUGAGAAAGCCCAUUUACCCCUUGUGCCAAAGAUAUCUUUUAAGAUUGGCUGCUCCUCUACUAUAGAGGGGGAAAGCAGGGAUGGGACUGUUGGGUUAGGAGCUUGUGAAGAAGAAAU
rnacentral:lncRNA from 1 species